CCCUUAGAUGUUCUGGGCUGCACGCGCGCUACACUGAUGCGCUCAACGAGUUUUAACCUUGCCUGGAAAGGUUGGGUAAUCUUUUUAAAACGCAUCGUGAUGGGGAUAGAUUAUUGCAAUUAUUAAUCUUCAACGAGGAAUUCCUAGUAAGCGCGAGUCAUCAGCUCGUGCUGAUUACGUCCCUGUCCUUUGUACACACCGCCCGUCGCUCCUACCGCUUGAGUGAUCCGGUGAAUAAUUCGGACUGCGGCAUUGACCGGUUCCCGAUCGUUGCUGCGGAAAGUUUAGUGAACCUUAUCACUUGGAGGAAGGAGAAGUCGUAACA
rnacentral:rRNA from 1 species